GUCUAUGGCCAUACCACCCUGAAAGUGUCCGAUCUUGUCUGAUCUGGGAAGCUAAGCAGGGUCGGGCCUGGUUAGUACUUGGAUGGGAGAAAGUAAGCCUACCAACC
rnacentral:rRNA from 1 species